CCCUUAGAUGUUCUGGGCCGCACGCGUGCUACACUGAGUGGAUCAGCGGGUCAGGUUGCGCGAAAGUGUUUCCUAAUCUUGAAAUCCGCUCGUGAUGGGGAUUGACGGUUGCAAUUUUCCGUCAUGAACGAGGAAUACCUUGUAAGCGCGGGUCAUCAUCCCGCGCUGAAUACGUCCCUGCCCUUUGUACACACCGCCCGUCGCUCCUACCGAUUGAGUGGUCCGGUGGGGCUUUGGGAUCUGAGCAAAGAGAGCGUUUCGCUCGUUUUGCCCGGAAAACUCAGUCGAACCUUAUCAUUUAGAGGAAGGAGAAGUCGUAACA
rnacentral:rRNA from 1 species